GAAAAAAGAUCCGUAGAUAGGUGUACCUGGGUGGGUUGACGGAGAGGUCAGGCCAGUUGAAUGGGUGGGAAGAAGGAGGAGCCCGACGAUCGAGGCAUAUUUAGGUGUGGACGGGCGCCGAUCGAUUCUAAGUGGAGCGAAGAGAGAAGUGUAGUUCCUAAGUAGACCGGAUAGAGAAGGGGCGUCCUUGGGGGGUUUGACAAGGAGAGUUCGAGCAGUCUUUACCGGAGGCCCUCAGUUUGGGUCCUCUCGUUCGUCGGUUCGGGCCUCGACGGCUUCGUCGACGGCAAGCUGAAAGAGUUCUUCUAGUGGUUGCUAAAGCGGCUUCUGGCGUUCUAUUCGCCGUCGGGGAAGCCGUGUGAGAUGUUCCCCUAACACGGCCUACUGCCGUCUCACUAACGCCACUUCUUCGAAGUCCUCUUGCGCGGUUACGGCCGACUGUUCGUCAAGUUGUUCCUCCAGGUCUUACACUACAGAGAGUUCGUACUCUUGUAACACCUCCAGCAACCCAAGACGUCGCUCUGCGUCUUCUUUGACCACGUCAAACUAUUCUCUAUGUAGGUCCGUCUGUAGUGACUCUCGAACUAGACGAUACUCAUAAAUGGAUUACCCUCGGAAGUCCUCUUAGAAAAACUCGGGUUUCUAAGCUGAUUUGUUCUAUAAUCAACCCUGUGUGCGAAGUUUUAUUAGUUCCCCUAAACGGUCCCGAAUAUAAAAGACGUGUUCAACCUGUAAGGGUAACAGGUAUACCUAAACUUCGGACUUUUAUAUGACAACCUACGUUUAUACCACGGUUUCUAGCGGCUAAAACGUGAGAGUGCCCAGAAACCGGUUCUUGUUUGGGCUGACACGUGUGUUUGUCAACAGCCUAGUAUACCCAUGUACCGAGGUCUUAUAGAAAUGUCUCCACUUUAGAGCCGAGUCAGUCUGUAUAUGUCAAAUCCGGAUCACUAUUAGCUCUAGCGGUGGUCUCUCGUCUUAGGAGCGCUUUUUCUGGUUGGUAGACGCUCUUCAAAACAGCUAUUUCACGCAUUUCUUACCUGCGACCUCUUGUAUUGUAGGCUCAUAAGUAGUGACCUAGUACUUUCGGAGGUUGUUCAAUUUUGUACGUAACUAUAACCCAGUUUUACACAACUCUAACUAUCUUGUUUUUCUGGAGCCUAUCUUCUUUAGCAAUUGAGCGAGUUUCCUGAUGUAGGUUCGGUUUCCCAAUGGCUCCAGCGGGCAGGCAGAUGUUGAUGGUUCUUCAGUUAAUCGAGGAAAAAACCAGUAUUCUUUACUUUGUACGUGCGGGACAAUAACGACCUUCUGACAUUGAAAUUAAACCUUUCUUCUGGGAAACAACGGUACAGUAAAACCUUUAUAACUUCACAUUAAAACAUACACAUUACAUAAAAUAAUAAUAAUUAGUACGUUGUCAUCAAAAUCGCAACAGAGACGAAUACAGUCAAACUUUACUCUUAGACAAAGAGAUCGUACGUUUCAGCAACUGAUUCUACCAUGUUCAAUUAGAACAAAACAUUCUUAAUGCAAGCAACUAAAGUUUAUAAAUUUUCCCCCUCUGAUA
rnacentral:rRNA from 1 species